UACGUAGGGGGCUAGCGUUGUCCGGAAUCAUUGGGCGUAAAGCGCGCGUAGGCGGCCCGGUAAGUCCGCUGUAAAAGUCCAGGGCUCAACCCUGGAACGCCGGUGGAUACUGUCGGGCUAGAGUCCGGAAGAGGCGAGUGGAAUUCCUGGUGUAGCGGUGGAAUGCGUAGAUAUCGCUUGGAACGCCAACGGUGAAAACAGGUUGCUGGGGGUGUGCUGACGCUGAGGAGCGAAAGCGUGGGGAGCGAACAGG
rnacentral:rRNA from 1 species